rnacentral:rRNA from 1 species
GACGAACGCUGGCGGCGUGCUUAACACAUGCAAGUCGAACGGAAAGGCCCUGCUUUUGUGGGGUGCUCGAGUGGCGAACGGGUGAGUAACACGUGAGUAACCUGCCCUUGACUUUGGGAUAACUUCAGGAAACUGGGGCUAAUACCGGAUAGGAGCUCCUGCUGCAUGGUGGGGGGUGGAAAGUUUCGGCGGUUGGGGAUGGACUCGCGGCUUAUCAGCUUGUUGGUGGGGUAGUGGCUUACCAAGGCUUUGACGGGUAGCCGGCCUGAGAGGGUGACCGGCGACAUUGGGACUGAGAUACGGCGCAGACUCCUACGGGAGGCAGCAGUGGGGAAUAUUGCACAAUGGGCGGAAGCGUGAUGAAGCAACGUCGCGUGCGGGAUGACGGCCUUCGGGUUGUAAACCGCUUUCGCCUGUGACGAAGCGUGAGUGACGGUAAUGGGUAAAGAAGCACCGGCUAACUACGUG